UUGUAAUUUGCAGAGGAUGCUUCGGGUGCAGCCCCCGUCUAAGUGCCCUGGAACGGGCCGUCAUAGAGGGUGAGAAUCCCGUCUGGGACGGGGUGUCUGCGUCCGUGUGAAGCUCCUUCGACGAGUCGAGUUGUUUGGGAAUGCAGCUCUAAAUGGGUGGUAAAUUUCAUCUAAAGCUAAAUACUGGCCGGAGACCGAUAGCGCACAAGUAGAGUGAUCGAAAGAUGAAAAGCACUUUGAAAAGAGAGUUAAACAGCACGUGAAAUUGUUGAAAGGGAAGCGUUUGCGACCAGACUCGCCCGCGGGGUUCAGCCGGCAUUCGUGCCGGUGUACUUCCCCGUGGGCGGGCCAGCGUCGGUUUGGGCGGCCGGUCAAAGGCCCUCGGAAUGUAUCACCCCUCGGGGUGUCUUAUAGCCGAGGGUGCAAUGCGGCCUGCCUGGACCGAGGAACGCGCUUCGGCUCGGACGCUGGCGUAAUGGUCGUAAAUGACCCGUCUUGAAACACGGACCAAGGAGUCUAACAUCUACGCGAGUGUUCGGGUGUCAAACCCGUACGCGCAGUGAAAGCGAACGGAGGUGGGAGCCCCCUCGUGGGGCGCACCAUCGACCGAUCCUGAUGUCUUCGGAUGGAUUUGAGUACGAGCGUAGCUGUGGGGACCCGAAAGAUGGUGAACUAUGCCUGAAUAGGGCGAAGCCAGAGGAAAACUCUGGUGGAGGCUCGCAGCGGUU
rnacentral:rRNA from 1 species